GCCAGAGAGGGGCCUGGGUGUGGAUCCCAACAGUGGCCACAAGAAGGAGUGCCAGGGUGUAUCCUGGCUUGGGCAGGGGCCCCAGAAGUUAAGAGUAAUCGCUUUGGAGCCAGAAGUGAUGGAUUCAAGCUCCCAGCACUGCCACCAGCUAGCUAGGAAACCUGGCGGGGGCGAGGGGGUGUCCCAUAACUGCUGGCACCUCAAUUUUCUCAGCCGUAAGAUGGGGCCAUGGACGUGUUAAUAACUACCCUUUAUUGAGAACUCCACACUCCAUGUGCGGUGCUGUCAGAGGGAGGCAUCACUCAACCCAGAGCCUAUGCUCCUAAGGACCAGUGGAGACCAGCCUUGGAGGGCAUCUGCAGCCUGAAAGGGACAGCGGAGUCCAGAGCAGGAGGCAGGGUGACAGCCGCUUCUCCCCUCCCCGCUAAGUGACCAUGCAGACAGCACUGUGCCUUCACUUCCUCACCGAGACUCUCUCUCUGUCACCCAGGCUGGAGUGCAGUGCUGCAAUCACAGCUCAUUACAGCCUCAAAUUCCUGUGCUCAAGCAAUCCUCCUGCCUCAGCCUCCUGGGAAGGGGGCAUUACAGCAGCCUGAGAAAAUUAAUACCCGUUCUGAAGAGUGGAAAGAAAAAUACAGAAAGAAAGAAAAAUGAACAGAAACUGAGGGAGCUGUGGAACACCAUCAACAAUACCAGCAUACAAACCACAGUAAUCCAGGUAGGAGAAUAGAGAGAAAAGGUGGCAGAAAAAAACAUUCAAAGAAAGAGUGGCCAAAUUUUUCUCAAAUGUGAUGAAAUGCAUCCAUAUACAUAUCCAACAAGCUCAAUAAACCCCAAGUAGGUUAAACUCAAAAUAUCCACAUCAAGACACAUUACAACCAAACUACUGAAACACAAAGGCAAAGAGAACUUUGAAAACAGCAAGGGAAAAGCUAUUUGGGUCACAUAUAAGAGAUCUUCAAUAAGAUUAAUAGCUGAUUUCUCAUCAGAAAUUAUGGAGGCCAGAAGGCAGUGGGAUGAUAUUUAACAUGCUGAAAGAAACUGUCAACCAAGAGUUCUGUAUCCAGCAAAACUAUCUUUCAGCCUGGCCAACAUGGUGAAACCCCAUCUCUACUAAAAAAUACAAAAAUUACUUGGGUGUGGUUGUGCACACCUGUAAUCACAGCCACUCUGGAGGCUGAGGCACAAGAAGCACUUGAACCCAGGAGGUGAAGGUUGCAGUGAGAUGAGAUCAUGCCACUGCACUCCAGCCUGGGCAACAGAGUGAGAUUCUGUCUAAAAAAAAAAAAGAAGAAUGAAUGAAUGAAGGGAAAAUUAAGACAUUUCCAUAUAAACAAAACCUGAGGAAGUUCAUUACCAGUGGAUCUUCCCUACAAGAAUUACCAAAAUAAGUCCUUCAGUCUGAAACAAAAGGACACUAGCUAUUAACUCAAAGCCAUAAGAAGAAAUAAAGAACACUGGUAAAGGCAACUACAUAGGUAAAUAUAAAGUCAGUAUUAUUGUUCUUUGGGUUUGUAACUUCUCUUUUUUUUCUAUGUGAUAUAAAAGGCAAAUGCAUAAAACAAUUAUAAGUCUAUGUUAAUGAACACACGUGUAAAAAUGUGAUUUGUGACAAUUACAAAACAAAGAAAGAAGAACAGAGAUGUAUAGGAGUAGAGUAUGUAUACACCUUUGAAACUACAUUGGUACUUUUGCAAACUAGGUUGUUAUAAGUUUAAGAUGUUAACUGUAAUCUCCCAAAGUAGCUAUUAAGAAAAUAAAAUUAAAAUUCACAGAAAAGGAAAGAAAGGAACCAAAAUGGUACACUAAAAAAAAUCGACUAAAUACCAAAAAAAGCAGUAAGGGAGAAAUAGAGGAACAAAAAAUAUAUAAUACAUAUAGAAAAAAAAAGCAAAAUGGUAGAAGUAAACCCC
rnacentral:lncRNA from 1 species